rnacentral:lncRNA from 1 species
UUCCUGAUACUUUCCUCUUUUACAACUUCUUCAGUUUCUUUCUUUUCUUCUUCUUUUCUUUGAAGAACCCAAGACUGUCCAAUGAGAAAGAAAAUGGGACCCACAGUUGUUCUGGGACAUUAGGCCUCUUUGAGACUGGCUGCUCUGGGGUCUGGUUUAUUUCCCCUGACUGGUGGCUCUGGGAAUUGUGUGUGUGACUUUCUUGCUUUAUGGUUCCCUCUGCCCCACCGGCAACUGUAAAGGUCGCUGUUGGUUCACAAACUGGUCCCCUUAAGCGAAGAGCAAAGAGAGCCAGAAGAAAGAGGCCGAGCAGGAGCCUGAAGUGGUCAGAUGGGGAGCAGACCACACAGGAAUGGACCAAGCCUAAUAAAUAGCAGGCUUGUGUUCUGCCCACGCUGUAUUCAGUUUGUGCUGCUGUUGGAGAUCCUGAAGGCUUGGCUUCUGCUUGGAGAAACUUCCAUUCUUCUCAUCCUGCCAAAUCCCUGUCUACAUGUAAAAUGUAGUGUGAAUUUUGCUUCCUGAUGAAAUGAUAAAAAUACCAGAUACCGCCCCUCCCCAGUCAAAUGAAGACCGGUCUUUAUAAUAAAGCACAUAUUUCUAGAGACUACA